GGGCGGGCGUGCUUACACAUGCAGUCGAACGAUGAUGCCCAGCUUGCUGGGUUGAUUAGUGGCGAACGGGUGAGUAACACGUGAGUAACCUGCCCCUGACUCUGGGAUAAGCGUUGGAAACGACGUCUAAUACUGGAUAUGAUCGCCGGCCGCAUGGUCUGGUGGUGGAAAGAUUUUUUGGUUGGGGAUGGACUCGCGGCCUAUCAGCUUGUUGGUGAGGUAAUGGCUCACCAAGGCGACGACGGGUAGCCGGCCUGAGAGGGUGACCGGCCACACUGGGACUGAGACACGGCCCAGACUCCUACGGGAGGCAGCAGUGGGGAAUAUUGCACAAUGGGCGAAAGCCUGAUGCAGCAACGCCGCGUGAGGGAUGACGGCCUUCGGGUUGUAAACCUCUUUUAGUAGGGAAGAAGCGAAAGUGACGGUACCUGCAGAAAAAGCACCGGCUAACUACGUGCCAGCAGCCGCGGUAAUACGUAGGGUGCAAGCGUUGUCCGGAAUUAUUGGGCGUAAAGAGCUCGUAGGCGGUUUGUCGCGUCUGCUGUGAAAUCCCGAGGCUCAACCUCGGGCUUGCAGUGGGUACGGGCAGACUAGAGUGCGGUAGGGGAGAUUGGAAUUCCUGGUGUAGCGGUGGAAUGCGCAGAUAUCAGGAGGAACACCGAUGGCGAAGGCAGAUCUCUGGGCCGUAACUGACGCUGAGGAGCGAAAGCAUGGGGAGCGAACAGGAUUAGAUACCCUGGUAGUCCAUGCCGUAAACGUUGGGCGCUAGAUGUAGGGACCUUUCCACGGUUUCUGUGUCGUAGCUAACGCAUUAAGCGCCCCGCCUGGGGAGUACGGCCGCAAGGCUAAAACUCAAAGGAAAUUGACGGA
rnacentral:rRNA from 1 species